AUGAACGCUAGCGAUAGGCUUAACACAUGCAAGUCGAGGGGCAUCAGGGUCUUCGGACCGCUGGCGACCGGCGCACGGGUGAGUAACACGUAUGCAACCUACCCAUUACACGGGGAUAGCUCGGAGAAAUCCGGAUUAAUACCCGAUGACACAAUGAUACUGCCUGGUAUUAUUGUUAAAGAUUUAUUGGUAAUGGAUGGGCAUGCGCGGGAUUAGCUGGUUGGUAAGGUAACGGCUUACCAAGGCAACGAUCCUUAGGGGAACUGAGAGGUUUAUCCCCCACACUGGUACUGAGACACGGACCAGACUCCUACGGGAGGCAGCAGUGAGGAAUAUUGGUCAAUGGGCGAGAGCCUGAACCAGCCAAGUCGCGUGAAGGAAGACGGUAUUAUGUAUUGUAAACUUCUUUUAUAGGGGAAUAAAGUUCGGGACGUGUCCUGUUUUGUAUGUACCCUAUGAAUAAGCAUCGGCUAACUCCGUGCCAGCAGCCGCGGUAAUACGGAGGAUGCGAGCGUUAUCCGGAUUUAUUGGGUUUAAAGGGUGCGUAGGUGGGUUAAUAAGUCAGUGGUGAAAUCCCGAUGCUCAACAUCGGAACUGCCAUUGAAACUGUUAGUCUUGAGUGUGAACGAGGUAGGCGGAAUUCGUAGUGUAGCGUUGA
rnacentral:rRNA from 1 species